UAAGUAAUGAACUGCCUUUGCUAGACUCUUCAUUUAUAUAAUAUUAUUUUUGCAUCGAAUAAAUUGUUAAUGAAUUUAUAUGUGAUUUAUGAAUUUUACGAGAUGAUGCUUUGAAUGAAAAAUGGAUAUGUCAAUUGGAAUAAUAUUUUUCGGACUAUUGUUAUAUUACUGUUCAUGCAUUGUAUAUACAUAUUUAGAUCGAAUUAUGAUAUAUCUAUUAUGUUACAAAAGAAUUUUGAUGUGCAUCAGAUUUAGAACUCUCAGCCUGGCUAUGUUCUGGACCCUGCCAAUAGGGGGUUAUGCAUUGGCAAUUCUGGCCCCACCACAGGGUAUAAGUGUGGUAUUCUGGCCCACUCCGUAGGGUAUAAGUGCGGUAUUCUGGCCCACUCCGCAGGGUAUAAGUGCGGUUCUGUUUCUGGCCUAGCCACAGGGUAUAAGUGUGGUCGUAGCUAAAGGCUGAUGAGAUGAAUAUGAUUUGUUUCGAAUCAGAUUUAUGAUUAUGUAUAUAGAUAUUUGAAAAAAUAUGAAUUUUAAUGAAUUUGUGCUUGAAAAGGAAUUAAUUAUGUUAUUAUGUUGAUUCAUCGUAAUUUGUAUUUAUAUUUUAUGUUAUUAUAUGAAUUGACUAGUUAAGGUGAUUAUUACUUACUGGGCUGUCUAGCUCAUUAUAUAAUUUCUUGUUGUUUUACAGAUUCUGAGAACUAACCUAUCGGAGAUUUAAAAAUGGGAGAGCGACUAGAAGAACUGAAGCACAAGUUAUCCUAGAUUAGGCUUUAUUUAAAUUAAUGUUCCAUCUUUAUUGUUCCGCUGCGUAUUUAGAACUGUGAGACUAUAUAAUUUGUGUCAGUCAAUGGAAUAAGAUUGCAUUUAUUUCAGUUGAAUUAUUUUAGAAUUACAUAAUUGAGGUGUUUUGGUUUAGAUGCCUUGCAUGCUCGUGGGGAGAGUUUCCUACGAGUGUGCGGCGGUUGGUGCGACCCCUGGCUCGCGAUCUCGGGC
rnacentral:lncRNA from 1 species